CUUCGGUGUGAGUAGAGCGGCGGACGGGUGAGUAAUGCUUGGGAAUCUGCCCAAUAGUGGGGGAUAACGUGUGGAAACGCACGCUAAUACCGCAUACGUCCUACGGGAGAAAGCAGGGGAUCUUCGGACCUUGCGCUAUUGGAUGAGCCCAAGUCAGAUUAGCUAGUUGGUGGGGUAAUGGCUCACCAAGGCGACGAUCUGUAGCUGGUCUGAGAGGAUGAUCAGCCACACUGGGACUGAGACACGGCCCAGACCCCUACGGGAGGCAGCAGUGGGGAAUAUUGCACAAUGGGCGAAAGCCUGAUGCAGCCAUGCCGCGUGUGUGAAGAAGGCUCUAGGGUUGUAAAGCACUUUCAGUGGGGAGGAAAAGUUCAAAACUAAUAUUUUUGAACCUUGACGUUACCUGCAGAAGAAGCACCGGCAAACUCCGUGCCAGCAGCCGCGGUAAUACGGAGGGUGCGAGCGUUAAUCGGAAUUACUGGGCGUAAAGCGCGCGUAGGUGGUUUGAUAAGCUAGCUGUGAAAGCCCUGGGCUCAACCUGGGAACUGCAGUUAGAACUGUCUGGCUAGAGUAUAGUAGAGGGUGGCGGAAUUUCCUGUGUAGCGGUGAAAUGCGUAGAUAUAGGAAGGAACAUCAGUGGCGAAGGCGGCCACCUGGACUAAUACUGACACUGAGGUGCGAAAGCGUGGGGAGCAAACAU
rnacentral:rRNA from 1 species